UACGUAGGGUGCAAGCGUUGUCCGGAAUUAUUGGGCGUAAAGAGCUCGUAGGCGGUUUGUCGCGUCUGCUGUGAAAACCCGAGGCUCAACCUCGGGCCUGCAGUGGGUACGGGCAGACUAGAGUGCGGUAGGGGAGAUUGGAAUUCCUGGUGUAGCGGUGGAAUGCGCAGAUAUCAGGAGGAACACCAAUGGCGAAGGCAGAUCUCUGGGCCGUAACUGACGCUGAGGAGCGAAAGCAUGGGGGGCGAACAGG
rnacentral:rRNA from 1 species